GGAAGGAGGUGGUGGCAGCCGCCAUGUUGAUGGCGUGGGAUGCUCGUAACUUAGGAGGAGCGGCCGGGGAACCGGGUUAAGAUGUCGGAAAAGGGGGAGGGUGGGAGCCAGGUUUUGGUUUAGGGGGUGGAAAGAGCUUGUUCGAGAGAGCGAGAGAGGAGGGGGGCGGUUGAGGGGAUGCGGCGGGUAGCGGAGGGCUCUGAAGGGCGUUACGCAGCGGCCCGCUGUCCCUCGGUGCCCGCCGGCUCUGGGAAGGGCAGUGCCUCUCUGUGGGGGGAGCGAGGUGAGGGGUGGGAGUGCGUUCCCGGGGUUCGCCCCCCCCCUUGUGGGCCGGAGCGGGGCCCCUGCGGUCCUGGCGGCGGGGCCCUGAGGCGGGCGGGCCUCGGCGGUGCGGGAGCGGCGGCCGCUGAGGUGGGUCUGUGGAAGGAGCUGGGGGGCGCUCGGACGGGGCCGCGGGCCGGGUUGUGGGGGCUGCGGGGCGUGGCGGGGCCGGGGGGCGCUGGUUUGGGAGGGGGGGAGGGGGCUCCGUGGCUCCCGGGGUUGUGCCCCUGGCGCCCUGUGGGGAGAGGGGUCCGGUGCGGGGCUGUAGCUGCCGAGGUGUUGGGCCCCGGCCUGGGAUGAAUGCAGGCUGGGUUAAAGAGCAGGGCUGGGCUCAUGGCCUGGCCUUGGUGGGGCAGGCCUCGGCAGGGAGCAGGCUGGGACGUGCCCUUGUCCCUUGUCACACACAGGGUGGUAGCUUGUGCGUGCUGGCUGGAGGCUCUUGUUAUUUUUUUUAAGGGUCGUGGCUUCUUUCUGAUAACAGUACUGACAGUGUUUUGCUGUCACAGGUACGUGGCUUAGUGUGUCCAGCUUUGCCCCUUCCCACAGGGGGCUGUUACCUGCGUGUCUGAAAGAGGGUAGAUUUAGAAUCGAUAGUGGGAAGCAAUUCUUCACUGUGCGGGUGGUGAGGCGCUGGCCCAGGCUGCCCAGAGCAGCUGUGGGUGCCCCAUCCCUGGCAGGGCUCAAGGCCAGGCUGGACGGGGCUGGGAGCGACCUGGGCUGGUGGAAGGUCCCUGCCCAUGGCAGGGUGGUUGAAACGAGAUGAUCUUUAAAGUCACUUCCAACCCAAACCAGUCCAUGAUUCUGUGUCCAUAGAGACAUAAAUCAACCUUGAAAAAGCUGAGAGAAUGGAUGAGGUGGUGUAAGACCUCUCAGCAUGGUACGGGAGCAGCAAAGCUAACUUGCUUCCCGGUUUUCUUACCUGAGCUUGCUGUCUUAGCUUAGCCAGCUGACUGGGUGCUGUCAGAAUUUCAGCAUACCUUCUGCCUGGCGUAUAGCAGUUAGGCCAGAUUUUCAGCAAUGGGUUGUAGACUUUCCUGUGCUGAACAUCACCCCUGCAUGUGCUAGGCCCUGUGUUGAGGAAUGUGAAAUGAUCCGUUCACCAUAUGAAAGAUUAAUUAAAUCCCUGUUAGUCUUAAAGAACUUGAGUUCCAUGAAAUAACAUGUGAAAGAUCGUUGCUCAAAACUUGUGCAUGGUUUGUGAAAUAACACUGUUUCUAGUUACAGCUGAUUCCUGUGAAAUAAAGUACUUUAUUACUUCAAGAAGAUACUCCAUUUAAAAGAGUUGUGAAGAGUUUCACAGGCUCACUGGAAGUCUUUGUUAAAAAAGUCCAGCAGUAGUAUAGCUCAGGAAAAAUGGAGUUACAAGUUUUGUUAAAUACUUUGGCUCCUCCUGGAGGUAAGUACAGUGCAUUUGCUCAGGAUAUCAUCUCGCAAUAACUACACAGAUACAGUGGUCUGUUUGCCCCAGGAUAUACUUGGAACAGUGUAGGGAGGAUGUCAUGAGAUGUUCUGUGGUACAGUUACUUAACUUGAACCUUGCAGCCUUUCAGGGUUUGUUGAUACUACAGCAUUGUGUGCCUUUCUUCUAUCUCUUUAAAUCCAGCUCCCUCUAGUUAAAGAAUCUGAACCAGUUGCAUUCCUGUAAAAUGUCCAGUGUCCUGGGAGGGGACAUGCUUCUCCCCACCUCCAGGGUGGCCAGUUUUGCCAUAUUCAUCACUGAAGAAAAGGAGUGGAGGGAGCAUAAUCCUCUGCUGUUGCUAUAACUUUCAGUAAUAGUUGCAUAUAUCUGAAGAAUUCUGAAUCGCAAGUACAGCCUCUUUUAUUUCUUAUCUACUUCUCUACACAGAUACCUUUAGAUCAGGUGUGCUGUGGGUGGAAAAAAGGGGCAGUGGCGUGAUGACUUAUGUCACAACAGUUGCCCACUGUAGGCUUUAAGCCUAAGCUUCUGUCUGUGCAGCUGAACCCAAGUAAUGAUGGUAAGUAUUGCAGUGAGAUAGCUCGCAGGGGGGAGCUUGGUUGUCUUUUCUGUAACUGUCAGAAAACAUGUAUGUGAAACCUUCAUCCAAGAUAGUCUGCUGAUCUAAUGACGGUAUGCUUUGUUAUUUAAACUGGUUUAGAAACAACGCAUUUCACCUGCAUUAAUUUCCCUCUCUUCUUCCCCUUCCCCCUUGUGUCUGUGCUGCUGCCCUUGGGAGAAGACAAGGAUGCCUCCUGCUUUACAGAUCUUUUUAUUUCAUUGUUUAUACCAUGUUUCUCUUUCUGAAGCUGUAGACACCACUGAUGUCUCAACUAAUAGUUGCAUAUUGAAAUGUAGAAAAAAGGAACUGGCUUUGCAAUCUACCCAAAUGAAUGCCUGACGCAAGAAACAAGUAAAAUAGUUUUCUAUGUAUCUAUAGCUCACUUUCACCAGUUCGGGAGUAUCUGAUAGUUGCCGGUGUGUGGAUCUUACUCAUUGAUGAUGACUAGUCAGAGAUCAUAAUAAUGAAACUCGUGUUACAUGUCUCAAACUUGGAUACUCUGUUCACCUGAAAGCGCUGAUGUCCAAGUCUUUUCUGACCCAACGGGUCUGAAAUGCAAGAUGCACAAGAAGCUUACAGUCCUAUUGCAGAAAUAAGUGGUGUCUCGGCAUUUCAUAUGAAAACACAUAAGGUGACCACAGAAUUGAAAACCUGCCUUUGAUAUUUCUUAAAUACGUGGGUAUACUCUGGUUUAAUACUGCUAAUAAAAAUUGCAGUGUCCAUAUGGUCCCGAGCCUGUGAAAGCUGAUCCAUUGUCUAUGCUUUGACUACUAUGUUGGCAUGCUGCACUACAGAAACUCUGUUCUCUUGUUGCUGAAGUGAUUUUGGUCACUGUGGACUCAGGUAAGCAACCACCUAGUGUCUUGAAGAACAGGAGAUGUGGUAGGAAGACCCUGCAGGAGGGAUGUGGAAAUUAAGUAGGCAUGUGUGAUGCCUUUGUUCAAGAAGAAAUUGCUUAAUACAUGUUUGACGUAAUUUCAUGUGUAGCAACCUGGCCUCAUAUCUCAGCUUUCAUUCUGACACGUUUUAAUGAAAACUUAAAGGAUUUGGGUGCCCUAAAUUGAGCCUUCAGUGGAUAGUAUACCGAAACCAGCUCUACAGUCUAUAUGAGAAUUACCUGAAUUUUAAGAGUGUACAAAUAUGUUACAUGCCAAGAUAAUUUUUAAGGUGUCUGAUACUCUGCUGUCACAGUGUCAACAUCUAUGUCAGUGCAGCAUGAACUGGCAGGAUGUUGGAGUUGUCUGAGUUCUUGAAAAUUAAUUGCCAAGCCAUACAUAAUUCUUAGUGUGCAAAUUAGCUAAAUGAAAAUAUUUUCAUGUGCACUCAAACAGGGAGUGGGAUAUGGUUUCUGAGGGUGAUUGAUGCUAUCUGUGCUAGCCUUGGUACAUAAGAUUUGGUUUUAACUCCCAUUUUCUUAGUUAUCCCAGCUAUAAAACUUUUUUGUCACAAGUUGUCCACAGUCCCCUUGGAGGAAGGAGAGUUGAAAGUGUCACAGAGGAACUGCUUUCUUCAAGACCUAUGGGGAAAGGGUAUAAACACUCAAAAUUACUGCUCGGAUUUUGGAGGCCGAAGAAACCGCUACAAAGGUAUUUUGUUUGCGUCUCCUGUGGAGCAAUUUCCCAAGGACUAGCCAGAGCUGCAAGGUGAAAGGUGAGAGGGUGAGUUCAGCUGGGUGGAACAGGCAAGUACUUCUAUAUCAUGUUGUUGUUUCAUAGUAUCUUAAUACAGAAAAAUAGGUUGUGUUGUCUACUUCAUUCUUCAACAGGAGAGUUUGGAAAAACAGGUAAGAGUUGGAAGGCUUCUGUGCCUUUUUAAGUGUUCUCAAGGAAAUUUGAGGUGGCAGCUGUUAAACCAAUUUCUGGAAGAACCUAAUCCUCCUGCAGAGCCAAAAAAGUUUGUAAAGCUUCUCAGAAAAUAAUUCUAGUGACUAAUUAUGAAGUCUUUAUUUUUUUUAUCUUUCAGCACAAGAAGAAUCUUCCAAGAGCAGUCAGGAACCUCUUCAGGUGGCAUGAAUGUGUUCGACUGAAUCGAGGCAGCAGUUACACAACAGGAAGGGGCAUGCAGGCUACUGCAAGUCCCUGGGUUCAUAACAACCAGUAUUGGAAGGAACCGGGUUUAGUAGAGAGGAAAACUUCUUCCACAACUUAUAACUCCCUUGAAUUUAAAUGAGAACAUCUAAUACUGAAACAGGAAAUUACUUUUAUUGUAGGUACAGGAGAUCAUCAGAAUAGGGGACUUAAAAGUGCUAGUCAGGGCUCUGUAGUGGGCCUUGGAAAACCUGCAGGUAGUUCCCAUACAAGAGACCAGCUGUGGGGAAGCUCCCCUUUGGGAAGGCACUGUAGCACUGGGGGGAUGCCGCUUGAGCAGAGGAGACUCCAGUUGAGUAUGUUCUGCAGCUGUUUUUUAGUUACAUAGGGAUGUAUCUCUUAAGGUGGGAUGGCCUAAGGUGACUACAGAAGACCAUAGGUUUGUAGGCAGACCACAUUUCCCUUGAGGGCAUAGAUACAACUGUGCAGUUCAGAACCACCUAAACAGUUCCAUUUUUCGUCAAAGAAUAUUACCAGAUUUAAAAACAGUUGUGCUUGCUCCACUGAACUCCUGCAGGAGUUAGCUGGCUGAGUGCAGCACUGCUCUGAAGAUAAGCCUUCCCCGCCCUUGGGUCGCUGGAGACUGGCACACAGACAUGACUCGGAUGGGCUCCAGGCCGAGUGUAAAUCCUUUGGCUGCCUGUGUUGUAGCUUUAAUAUAUACAGGCAGCACGCUUGGGAGCUUCCACGUGGAACAGGAAAACACUCGGGCAGGGCCAGUUGGGAUGUAUUCUGUGUGUGCACUGCCCUCUUCAGCGCAAAACUUGAUAAAACCCUGUAGUAGUGCGUACGACAGGCGGGGGCAUCGUGCUGAGGUUACACUAGGUGUGGACCUCGGUUGCCACAAAUCCUGGAAAGGUCUAUUUUUGUUGUGUAGUGGUAAACCUGAGUUAGUAACUGAUACCGUUCAGCCAGUGUGUGUGUCUGCCAGACAAGUAGUCCAUGAGCUGACCUCCUCAAGCAUGGGGACUAGGCUUUACUCCUUUACAAAAAAAAAAAAAAAAGGGGGAGGCAGCAAGGACUUUUUUUGAAGGGUCACAUAAACUCUACUGCAAGUAAAAGCCCACUAAAAAUCUUGGUGGAAAGAAUACAUUUUGGGAAAUGAUGAGUGCUGUGACAAAAAGUAGCGUGAUUUACAACAAUUUUCCGAUUCCGUUCCUUCUCUGUGUUUUUCUGAGAUUUGUAGGGGAGAAGUGCUGGACACAGAGUGUGAAAACCGUAACCAGAAGUAAAAAUUUAAUUCUAGCAACCAGAAUUUUGAGUGAAAUUACACACCGUUAUUUUCUAAGAAGGUCCUUUAUCUAAACCAGUAAUGCUGGAGUCCCUGAUCAUGCAUGCUAGUGGUCUCAGGGUCUCCAGCUAUUUGGAUGCAGUGGUGCAAAGCUUUAUGUUGCUUCCUAUAUGUUUCAGCUUAGAAUACAAUCUUUGGCAGUGUGAGUACCUAAACAGUAGUGCAGUCAGAACAUUCCUUACUGUAGACAAACCAUUUCCUUUUAGGUAAGUAACGCUGCACUGUGGAAAAGCACACAACUCUAGGGCGAGCUUCAUUUCAUAGUGUCUCCUGUGCCAGAAUUCCCUGGGCUUGUUCUCUUCCUUGCCUUGGACUCUGCUGUUUACCCAAACUUUGAGCCUUUCUGCGCAUUAUCUCUGGUCGGCUCUUUUCCAUCACCUGAUUAUUUUUUGUUUGGUUUUUUUUGCCGUUUCUCUGCAAAUACCUCUUCCUGGAAACCUGGGAAUGACAGUAAGUAUCUCAGGUUCCUGGCCAAGUUUCCACUCGUGGUUUCACUUGCUCCCUUCUGUCAAGUUAUUUACAUGUAGUGUCCUAAGGAUAUAAUUUAGUGGACGGCUAGCAGCAAGCAGCUAACCUUUAUGUCUUGGCCCCAGUCUGCAUAGGUCAGGUUUACACAAGCCUGCUGCCUCACAAUAAAUUCAGUGGCCUCUCUUACAGCCCUUGGUUUCCUUUUGCACAGCUUUAUGACAAAGAUAGUGUUCUGCUGUUGCAGAUUUAAAAAUGGACAUGCUAGGACUGAUUGCUUCACCUACUGAGCUGCAUGACCCAGAAUCUCUUCUGAACCUUGCCCUUCUGCAUACAUGAGGCCUAGGUGAGAAGGAUUAUUUCUCAUGUCUUAAUAGGUCUGACAUGCUGCACUGCAGGAGAGGUUUUCCAAAGCUAGCGUUGAGGUGUGAAGCUGACUAAGCUACCGUGCUCAGAGUCUUGUCCUUGGGUUCUGAGUUGAUGCAUGUCCAAGUUGGUUUGUAUCCAGCAGAGCCUUUCUGGGUAUGUGUUCCCAGGAGGUGUAUUACCUGAGCUCCCUGCUUUGAGCUCUCAGAAAAUACAGCUGCAUGAUGCAGAGGCUGUGGUGGCAUUGCUUGUUUAAGGUAUUUGGUGUUACCUUUCUACCUUUUCUUUCCCGUGCCAUGUUACACCACUCCCUUUUGUGCCAGCACAACUCUUUGGAGUGGCAUAGUGAGCUAUCAGUGUCUUGAUCAGGGUGUUAAUGCACACUCCCUGCCCUCUGUAUGCUUUUCUGUGGCUCGGGGCAGAAGCAGAGGAGGUUUGUAGUUUGCAGCUUUCUAAAACCUGGAUCGGGUUAGUGAGCUGGUUUGGAGCAUUUGCAACAUGGCACUAAAAAGAAGUGGCCAGGUGUACAGCAGCGGUCGGGCUUGGUGCUGAAGCCUCUGUCUCAUUAAGUCAUGCGCAUAAGGAUUCAGUUUAUUUUGUGGGGGAGGAACAGCAGCAGUAGUGCAGUGUCGCUUGUGCACAUGGAUGCUCUUGUUAAUCAUGUUUUGCUGCUUUAGGGCUCAUGACCCAGCCAGAUGUUCUGCUGCCUGUAGCCCUCUGACCAGGCAGUGGCAGCUCAAGAAACCCUGAUGUCUGUAAGCAGCGCUGUGAUUGCUAGGUGUAGUCCAAACAAAUCCCAGUGGGAGAGGAGAGCUGGAGUAAGAUGCGGAGCAGUUUUCCCCUAAAUGUGGGCGGGGGGUUGACUCUUAACGGAGUACAAACACGUUUUCUUAUGAUGGAACUAAUUUCUUACAUUUAGGGAGUUGCAUGUAACCCCUGCACACUUAACUAAAUAUCCCUUUUAUAUUUCAUGGCAGAACAGUUCUACAGUAACGAGACUGAGGUACUAAAAUCUUCCACACGUGAUAGAUAAAAACCUGAUCCCAGUUUUCCGUGUCAACAUUUUGGCAGUGCUCCUGAUACUAGCCAAGUUAGCUUCUCUACUGUGAACUCCUGCCACGCAAAUAUGAUCUACUGCCUUCGUUCUGGUAACGGUGAAUGCUGUCCUCUGAUGAGGAUGAUGUAGUGGCAGGUGUUUCGGAGUGACAUGCGGUGGCUUGGCUGUACUUGCUCUGCUGUAGCCGAUGUCGGCUAAAAUAAUAAUUGCAUCCCCUAAGAGUUAGAUUAUUGCUGCUGUUAAUCUUUCUGGAAAAAAACAAAUGAGAAGUAGAGGCAGAUAGAAUCCUCACGUGAAUUGGCAGGAGGGGGGUGCUAUGUCUCACCAGGGACGGAGGGCAGUCGUGCUUGUGAGGUCUGUGUAGCCUCCUGCAGAUCCCUGCCCACUGAAAGCUCCUCUCGUCUCCAGGGUCAGUUGUGACUGGAGCAACCGGUGUCCCGAUGCUACCUCCUGCAAACAGGUUAUUUGGCCGUGGAUUAACCUUGCCAUGAGUACCGAGGCAUGUGACAUGCUUGGCCAUGGAGGCAGGUAUGUGUGGGCUCUUUCACAAGUUUGUCAACGCUUAAGUGCAGUGGCUCUCCAGAAUGGGUAAUGUUGCUGCCAUUCACUCUGAGUGGCAUUGCAGCCUCAUUCACGUGGGUUUCACGGUAUCUCAGGCAUCCCAGCCUUUCGCUAUAGUCCGCUCUCCAUUACCUGAAGGUGAAUUUAGAUAGAAAUGCUCACGACUGCCAAGAUCCUGGGUUUGGAAGACGCCUGCUUCCCUGUAAUAUUCAGUCAUGCUGUCUGGUGGGGAUGGAUCUGCCUCUUGGGUAUGGCCGAUUUACCCGUCUUAUUUCUCCCAAAGGAUACGUGCGUCCUGGGCUUUCCCUGUGCUAUGUGCACAGCCUCCAGGCAGUGGUCACCUCUGUGGGAUGCCAAGGGAUGGCUACCCCAGUCAUCCCUGAAUUUACUGCUCAGCACCCCGUGACAUAGCAGGGAGUGCAAGGCAUUAUUUUGCUCAAGUCCACCACCCUCAACUGGCAUUUAUUUUUUCGUCACCAUUUUGUUUCUGGCUAAAACAAAGGUGUUAAGGGAGGCUUUGUGCCAACACACAGGUUUUCCAAACUUUGGAUUUUUCCCUUUUCUGUAGUAUCUCUCUGUCACCCAAACAUAGCACAUCACACUCGUGUUCAGUCUGUAGGUUAUGCCCUGAUAGGUGUGAGUAGCCCUAGGAUAAUUCCCUGUUUAUUCAGCUGUGUGGAGCUGGUGAUUCCAGUGGCUCCAAAAUUCUGGCUAUUGCAUCCCAUCGUUCUAAAGAAGACAAAUGAAAGCUUGGAGGAAAGAGCCCUCCUUUCCUUCUUGUCUGUUGGGAUGUGCCGAGCAGCCCCAGAGCUGGUGCAGGGGUCUGAUGGGAUGCUGACCUCCAUCCAUCCCCUGCCCUGGGUGGUGGGACAGCAGCACCCUAGGGUGGAGGAGGCCAGGGGCCAUCCAUCUCAAGAGCUGCUGUCUUCUACCUUUGUCACUCUGUCCCCGUGGCUUCUAUGUCCCUUUCCCUGAAACUCAUUGCCAUUUUUUUUGGAAAACACCUGCUCUGAUACAGCCCUUUAGCACAAGCAGUCUUUAGAUACAGCAGGCCGGGGUGCAUCUUGGCAUGCCAUCAGAUGAACUUUUUCAGGUCUUUAGGUAGUUUGUAACAAAGGGGAUAUUAGUGUGGGCAAGGUCCAAGAAAUACUUUUGUAGAGGCAUGUGUGACGUCUGCUAAAUUUGAAAAAGCCUUAUGUGACUUGGUCUUCUCUUUAGUGGCACUGUCAUCAGGUCUUCUUCCAUGACUCUAUCGUGGUAAUCUUGCAUUAGAGUUUUGAGAUCUGCCAAGUAAGGAGGCCCUGAUGAGCCCACAGUGUGAAGGUGGCUCUACACUGUUUCCAAGGGUCCUUCAAAGAAUGUGUUAAUGGGAAGAACAGUUUGACCCAUUUCCAUUAUUUUUUUUUAAUAGAUGUUUCAGCCCCAAGAAUCCCUGCAUAUUCCAUGUAACUUACAAUCAAUUAAUUUUCUCCAUUUUCUCCAAUACGGCCAUUUUUAUGCAAAGGCAUAUAAAUGGCAUUUCUUAGUAGGCAUUCCUUUCAUGUUGUGUAUUACAGCUGCAUGUAUCCACAUCAGGUAAGUCAGGAAUAUUUGAAUAACAAAUGUUAAAAUGGGUCAUAAACCACAAGAGUUGCUGAGUUCAAACUUCAGAGGACCUGGAUCCUUUCCUGGUACAUUCAGUGGGCGAAUAAUUUAUACCUCAGGACCAUGUUUUGCACUGGAGGACAUCUGUGUGACUGUCUGGCUGCUGCUACUUCAGCAUCUCUUACCUCUGGGAUGAAAUCUGGUUCCCAUUGAAUCUCUGUGUGGGUGGAAAGAGAUCUAAUAACACUUAAAAGGUAGAUGAAAAGUGCUGUCCAUGUGCUGAGUUUCAUAUUUUUAACCUUUGCAUUUUUUAAAGUAGCCCCUUCCAUUUCUUAAACGGGUGACACCUGAGGCUAAGUAGAUCUCUACAGCCAACUGCCUGAAAUGCCUCAGAGGCAGAAGUGCCGUUUUGCACAGAUACCCAGUAAAGAUGCAGAACCACGGUACUGCUGGGAACCAACCAGUCACCACUAAAAUAUGGUAGUGCAAAAACUCGUCAGGAGGCUGAGCAAACCCAGCCCUUCUUACAAUGUUAUGCCUACAGCAUUCUGUCUAAAACCCAUUAUCCCUUGGAAAAGUAGUUGACAACAUGGUAAAGAGGAGAAUCAAAUACCUUCCCAGGGUUCUCCCCAUUUUAAUGCACUCAUAAAUGUAGCCAAGUACCUCUCCGGCAUUAAUAAAGAGGAUAUUGGAAGCUAUCUAGACACAACGUAACUUCUUGAACCUUGAAAGACUUCUAACGACUCCUCCAUUUCCACAGCUGGUUUGUGGCAUCGUUGGGUAUGUUCACAUUUCCAAGUCCAAGACAUGAAGUGGCUUUGUACUAUUUCUUUAGAAAACAGCUGAAAUCAUAAAAGGAGCCCUGAUUUUCAAAACACAAAUGUUUGGUAUGGCUUUUAUUUAAAUAAAAUUCAGGCAUGCACGUGCUUAUACAGUCA